AGUGAACGCUGGCGGUAGGCCUAACACAUGCAAGUCGAACGGCAGCACAGUAAGAGCUUGCUCUUACGGGUGGCGAGUGGCGGACGGGUGAGGAAUACAUCGGAAUCUACUUUUUCGUGGGGGAUAACGUAGGGAAACUUACGCUACUACCGCAUACUGCCUACGGGUGAAAGCAUGGGAUCUUCGGACCUUGCGCGAUUGAAUGAGCCGAUGUCGCAUUAGCUAGUUGGCGGGGUAAAGGCCCACCAAGGCGACGAUCCGUAGCUGGUCUGAGAGGAUGAUCAGCCACACUGGAACUGAGACACGGUCCAGACUCCUACGGGAGGCAGCAGUGGGGAAUAUUGGACAAUGGGCGCAAGCCUGAUCCAGCCAUACCGCGUGAGUGAAGAAGGCCUUCGGGUUGUAAAGCCCUUUUAUUGGGAAAGAAAAGCAGCAGGUGAAUACCCCGCUGUUCUGACGGUACCCAAAGAAUAAGCACCGGCUAACUUCGUG
rnacentral:rRNA from 1 species